GAAGUGCAAAGAAAAUGAGUCCGAAUGCUGUGCCAGAAAGGAUGACACUGCAGCAAGCCAGCUGGGACACGCUCACAACUAACUCAGGUCAAGCAAAGGGGGUGGUGGGAAGCAUUAAAUAUUGACUCAGAUGCUCAGAUCCUGCAGUUGAUUUGUGGCUUUAUAAACGCCAAAUAUUCCAUACCACGGACCAAAAGCAAGUCAGAAAGCUUCAGCUGGCGGAGUGGCAUUAUAUUGGGUAGGACACAAAACCCAAGCGUCAGUACCAGCGCUGCUGCAUACAGAAAUCAGGCAGUUUUUCCGCCCAAUGGAGGAAUUUGUGCUCCUGCUGCCCUCUGCCGGCCUGGGACUUGUGUGAGACAGAGCAGAGAAACGCCACACACCCUUUGUACCCAGAAUGGACCCCCUGCUCUCCAUCCCAUCCCAGCCAUGCUAUCAGCCAGCAGCCCAAGCUGUGCCCAGCCCGCUGCCUCCCGAGCUGACCCACAGGGUCCUGAUGUGGCUUCUUCCUUCUUUCUAAACUUGCCUUCUGAAAGUUUGGGAUGCAGGAAACGGGCGGAUGAAAGAGACGGCAUUUUUAGCUCGGGGUUUUAUGUAAUGACAAGGAGCUAAAUCAGUGCUGCUCUCUGCAUCACCACAGAGAGAAGGGUUUGAACAAAGCCCCCAGAAAGCUUGAAAAGAAAGAAAAACACCGAAGAAAUCAAA